UACGUAGGGGGCUAGCGUUGUCCGGAAUCAUUGGGCGUAAAGCGCGUGUAGGCGGCCCGGUAAGUCCGCUGUGAAAGUCGGGGGCUCAACCCUGGAAUGCCGGUGGAUACUGUCGGGCUAGAGUACGGAAGAGGCGAGUGGAAUUCCUGGUGUAGCGGUGAAAUGCGCAGAUAUCAGGAGGAACACCGAUUGCGAAGGCAGCUCGCUGGGACGUAACUGACGCUGAGACGCGAAAGCGUGGGGAGCAAACAGG
rnacentral:rRNA from 1 species